UGAGGAAUAUUGGUCAAUGGGCGCAAGCCUGAACCAGCCAUGCCGCGUGCAGGAUGACGGUCCUAUGGAUUGUAAACUGCUUUUGUACGGGAAGAAACACUCCGACGUGUCGGAGCUUGACGGUACCGUAAGAAUAAGGAUCGGCUAACUCCGUG
rnacentral:rRNA from 1 species